UCCCGCUUAGCUCAGUUGGUAGAGCGCGUCACUAGUAACGUGAUCACCUUAUGAUCGCAUUGCCACAUGACGAGGUCAGUCGUUCAAGUCGGCUAGUGGGAA